ACUUAAUACUUUAAAUUAUAUAAAGUUGUAGCAAUUCCAUUUGGUUGAAUAUGCGUCUGACAGUGACAUACCAUUUGUCUACGUUCAAGAUUGAAUGGGUGAAGAAAUGAUACAUUUUUUUGUAUGUUUACUCACUUUAUCUUGAGGCCAUUAAGGUUAACCCUAUUACUGCCACGACACAUCAACCACAUACCAUAUUGUUUUUUACUAUACUAAAAUAAUCACCUGAAGUCUGUCUUUUUCAGACAUUACAGCAUUUUAGACAUUUACAGUAUAACAAAAUGAGGGAAGUCAAUUAAAUAUAAUCAGUCUGUGGCCGCUAUCACUCCACCUUAGUCAGGUAAGGAAGUGAUUCAGAACAUACCUAUUUUCCUGGCAUCUGAUUGGCUGCUUCUGUCGAUGGACAGUGCAUACGUUUCCCUUCCCUUUGUACAAUGUCUCAUGUGAACAGUACCAUUUGUUUCUUAGGUCAAAUUGUUCUUGGUCAUAUUCUCGAUUCUUCUUGAACGUUAUCAAAGAUAAGGUCUUUGAGAUGAUUGUGGCAAUUCAACUGACAAGUAUUGCGAUUGAAGUAACUGCUGUACUCGCACAUGAUGACUAGGAGGUUAAGAAUAUACAUAUGUCGGAUUUGAUCAGUUUCGUCACAGGGGUAAAAUAAUCCUGCAGCUGGAUACAUUUGGUAUGUUUGUA
rnacentral:lncRNA from 1 species